rnacentral:rRNA from 1 species
AACGAACGCUGGCGGCAGGCCUAACACAUGCGAGUCGAGCGCGCCCUUCGGGGUGAGCGGCGGACGGGUGAGUAACGCGUGGGAACGUGCCCUUUUCUACGGAAUAGCCUCGGGAAACUGAGAGUAAUACCGUAUACGCCCUUUGGGGGAAAGAUUUAUCGGAAAAGGAUCGGCCCGCGUUGGAUUAGGUAGUUGGUGGGGUAAUGGCCUACCAAGCCGACGAUCCAUAGCUGGUUUGAGAGGAUGAUCAGCCACACUGGGACUGAGACACGGCCCAGACUCCUACGGGAGGCAGCAGUGGGGAACCUUAGACAAUGGGGGCAACCCUGAUCUAGCCAUGCCGCGUGAGUGAUGAAGGCCUUAGGGUUGUAAAGCUCUUUCAGCUGGGAAGAUAAUGACGGUACCAGCAGAAGAAGCCCCGGCUAACUCCGUG